rnacentral:rRNA from 1 species
GAUGAACGCUGGCGGCGUGCCUAAUACAUGCAAGUCGAGCGAACAGAUAAGGAGCUUGCUCCUUUGACGUUAGCGGCGGACGGGUGAGUAACACGUGGGUAACCUAACUAUAAGACUGGAAUAACUACGGGAAACCGGGGCUAAUGCCGGAUAACAUUUAGAACCGCAUGGUUCUAACGUGAAAGAUGGUAUUUCUAUCAGUAAUAGAUGGACCCGCGCCGUAUUAGCUAGUUGGUAAGGUAACGGCUUACCAAGGCAACGAUACGUAGCCGACCUGAGAGGAUGAUCGGCAACUGGGGAGCGGGGACACGGAGCAGACCCGUACGGGAGACAGGAGCCGGAAAUCUACCGGAGUGAGCGAUAGCGUAACGGAGAAACGGCGCGAGAGUGAUGUAGAGCUACGCAUCGUAAAACACUGAUAUUAGGGAAGAGCAAAGGUGUAUGUACCUGUGCGCGAAUGGACGGUACCGAAGCAGAAAGCCACGGCUACCUACGU